GCGCCAGUAGUCUAGUGGCCGGACAUGAGCUUCCCAAGCUCAAAACCCGGGUCCGAUUCCCGGCUGGCGCA
rnacentral:tRNA from 1 species